CCUCGCCCCCUCCUCUUCCCCUCCCUCCCAUCUCCACCUCCCCUAUGGACGUUUAAUCGUCAACUGUUUAUCCCACAUGAGAACUUUUUUCUUCUUCUUCUUCUAAUUUGUCUUUUCUUUUUUUUCUUCCUCCGUGGGAAGGUUAAAAAGUGACCCUCUCCUCACACUCAAAACGCCUGUUUUUUUUUUUUUUUCUUAAUCCACAGAGAGUCUAACGCAUGCGCGUCUCCACGUGGUGAGUGAUUUACUGAUGUUUAUCAGGAAUGAAUAGAUCAAAGGCAAGUUGCAUGACAGACGAUCAAUCAAGCAUCAAAUCAAGGAUGGCAAUCCCAGAGCGGAACCCAAGCUGGAAAUAUGCAACUUUUCAUUCUUUUCUUUUCAAACAACGCUGGGCUCUGACACAAUCAUGCAAAGGAGAAGACACACUGCAGAGAAGUCCUGCACGCAGGAUGUCGAAUCAGGUUGUCUUAAAGAAACAAGGACGGAUGCAGGACAGUUCAGUUGAUUGUCGAAGGAAUUGGCCCGACUCGACUAUAAUCAAUACGUUUUAAGAAAAUGGAGCUACGUCCAGCUGUGCUUCUAUCUCACAAACAUUACUCUGUCUGAUCUUGGAAAGCUAUUAUCUCUCCGACAAAAGAUGGAUCUCAGAAACAGAAUGACUCCGUCUUCGAUCUGACUCAGAAUGGAAAGUCUUUACGAGACAAUUUUUGUUGGACGCCAGAAAAGCUUGUGAAAUAUUUGCCUUUAACGAGACGUUUCCUCCUGCCAGAUAUCACCCUGAUCAAUGACGCUUCUGCUCCAAGAGAAACGACAAUACCUGGAGCCACGAUCCUUCUGAAUUGCUGCUGAAGAAGACGGUCGCACCUUCCUGAUUCUGGUUCUGCUGGUUCCUUCUUGUUAAAUCACAUUUGUUUUUACAGUGUUAAAUCAGAGAUAUUUAGUUAAAGGUGGAAUGCAUUUGUUUAGAUUUAAACUGAAAUCUGACUAUUUCAUGUAUCGUGAUUUGGAUGGGUUCAGCUUUUAUGUAUUAAAAGUUCACUUGGAUGACUUUAUGUAGUUUAGGGCCUGUACUCAAUUUAUAUAUGUAUAUAAAACUUGUUAGAAUGCCUCAAAUCUG